CUCGCAACCAACAAGCGAGCAGCAGCCUGGCUGAGUAACACGUCCCCUGGAGACUAGCAGGAGCAACACGUGAUGUGUCUACUUAGGUCCAGCUUUCCAUCAUGGCUCGACCCAAGCAGCCCAGUCUGGAGCAAGUCAAACAUAUGAAGUGCUUUUCUGAAGAGCAGUUUGAAGUCUAGAAAGGGUAAGAAUUGCUUUAUGUUUCUAUUCAUCUUCUCUGAAAGAUCUUUCUAAAAAUGAGUAUAUGGUGGAGAAAACAUACAAGAGGGAUGGCAAAAAAAGGACAAC